AGGAAAAGAAACUAACAAGGAUUCCCCUAGUAACUGCGAGUGAAGCGGGAAAAGCUCAAAUUUGAAAUCUGGCAGUUCUUUUGACUGUCCGAGUUGUAAUCUAGAGAAGUGUUACCUGUGCUGGACCAUGUACAAGUCUUCUGGAAUGGAGCAUCAUAGAGGGUGAGAAUCCCGUCUUUGACAUGGACUACCAGUGCACUGUGGUGCACUCUCAAAGAGUCGAGUUGUUUGGGAAUGCAGCUCAAAAUGGGUGGUAAAUGCCAUCUAAAGCUAAAUAUUGGCGAGAGACCGAUAGCGAACAAGUACCGUGAGGGAAAGAUGAAAAGAACUUUGGAAAGAGAGUUAAACAGUACGUGAAAUUGCUGAAAGGGAAACGCUUGAAGUCAGUCACGUUGGCUAGAAAUCAGCCUUGCUUUUGCUUGGUGUACUUUCUGGUUUAACGGGUCAGCAUCAAUUUCUACCAUUGGAUAAAGUCUCUGGGAAUGUGGCAUCUUUGGAUGUGUUAUAGCCCAUUGUCGCAUACAAUGGUUGGGAUUGAGGAACUCAGCACGCCGCAAGGCCGGGUUUUAACCACGUUCGUGCUUAGGAUGCUGGCAUAAUGGCUUUAAUCGACCCGU
rnacentral:rRNA from 1 species